CUACGGGGGGCUCCAGGCGCGAAAACUCUACAAUGCACGCAAGUGUGAUAGGGCAACCCCUCGUGCUUAUCUAACGAUAGGCUUUUGUUAUGUGUAGUAAGCAUAACGAAUAAGUGGUGGGCAAGACUGGUGCCAGCAGCCGCGGUAAUACCAGCGCCACGAGUGGAGAUCACUUUUAUUGGGUCUAAAGAGUCCGUAGCUGGUUUGGAAAGUCUCUUGUGAAAUUUCUGUAGCUUAACUCAGAAAUUGCAAGAGAUACUCCCAAACUUGAGACCGGGAGGGGUAAGAAGUAUUGUUUGGGUAGCGGUAAAAUGCUAUAAUCCUUACAGGACUAACUAAGGCGAAGGCAUCUUACUUGAACGGAUCUGACAGUGAGGGACGAGAGCUAGGGGAGCGAACCGGAUUAGAUACCCGCGUAGUC
rnacentral:rRNA from 1 species